CCUACGGGUGGCAGCAGUGAGGAAUAUUGGUCAAUGGGCGCGAGCCUGAACCAGCCAAGUAGCGUGAAGGAUGACUGCCCUACGGGUUGUAAACUUCUUUUAUAAAGGAAUAAAGUGAGGCACGUGUGCCUUUUUGUAUGUACUUUAUGAAUAAGGAUCGGCUAACUCCGUGCCAGCAGCCGCGGUAAUACGGAGGAUCCGAGCGUUAUCCGGAUUUACUGGGUUUAAAGGGAGCGUAGAUGGGAUGUUAAGUCAGGUGUGAAAGUUUCCCGCUCAACGGUGAAAUUGCAAUUGAUACUGGCAAACUGGAGUGUGUGAGAGGAUAGUGGAAUUCCAGGGGUAGGAGUGAAAUCCGUAGAUAUCUGGAGGAACAUCAGUGGCGAAGGCGACUAUCUGGCACAUAACUGACGUUGAGGAGCGAAAGCGUGGGUAGCAAACAGGAUUAGAUACCCGAGUAGUC
rnacentral:rRNA from 1 species